rnacentral:RNase_P_RNA from 1 species
AGAGUGGGCUGGGUGAUCGCUGGUGGAUGGUAUUUAAUACUGCACCACUGGAGGAAAGUCCGGGCUCCAUAAAGCAAGAUGCCGGGUAACUCCCGGCGAGGGCAACCUUAGGGAAAGUGCCACAGAAAGCAGACCGCCGGACCAGUUUUUUAAAAAACUUCCGGUAAGGGUGAAAGGGUGCGGUAAGAGCGCACCGCGUUUUUUUUCCGGUAACGGAAACGGCAGGGUAAACCCCAUCUGGAGCAAGACCAAAUAGGGGAACGUUCACGACGGCUCGUCCAGUUCCCGGGUAGGUCGCAUGAGAUCCUUGGCAACAAGUAUCCAAGAUGAAUGGUCACCACCCAGCUAGCAAUAGCUGAGACACAGAACCCGGCUUACAAGCCCACUCUUUUU